GCCAGAGAGUACUUGCACCAGAUCUUAGCGGCGGACGGGUGAGUAAUGCUUAGGAAUCUGCCUAUUAGUGGGGGACAACAUUUCGAAAGGAAUGCUAAUACCGCAUACGUCCUACGGGAGAAAGCAGGGGAUCUUCGGACCUUGCGCUAAUAGAUGAGCCUAAGUCGGAUUAGCUAGUUGGUGGGGUAAAGGCCUACCAAGGCGACGAUCUGUAGCGGGUCUGAGAGGAUGAUCCGCCACACUGGGACUGAGACACGGCCCAGACUCCUACGGGAGGCAGCAGUGGGGAAUAUUGGACAAUGGGCGCAAGCCUGAUCCAGCCAUGCCGCGUGUGUGAAGAAGGCCUUAUGGUUGUAAAGCACUUUAAGCGAGGAGGAGGCUACUUUAGUUAAUACCUAGAGAUAGUGGACGUUACUCGCAGAAUAAGCACCGGCUAACUCUGUGCCAGCAGCCGCGGUAAUACA
rnacentral:rRNA from 1 species